GACGAACGCUGGCGGCGUGCUUAACACAUGCAAGUCGAACGGAAAGGCCUGCUUUCCCUUGUGGAUUGCGGGUACUCGAGUGGCGAACGGGUGAGUAACACGUGAGUGAUCUGCCCCCAACUUGGUUAUAAGCCUGGGAAACUUGGUCUAAUUCCCGUUAGGACUGCAGGGUGGUGCCUGUGGUGGAAAACGAUUUUCUAGUGGCUUGGGAUGAGCUCGCGGCCUAUCAGAUUGUUGGUGUGGUAAUGGCCUACCAAGGCGGCGACGGGUAGCCAGCCUGGGAGAGUGGACGCGCACAUUGGGACUGAGAUACGGCCCAGACUGCUACGGGAAGCAGCAGAAGGGAAGAUAGCACAAUGGGCGGAAGCCUGAUGCAGCGACGAAGCGUGGUGGAUGACGGCCUUAGGGUUGUAAACUCCUUUCGACCGCGAGGAAGCCACCUGGUUGGAAGGGUGGUGACGGUAGUGGUAGAAGAAGCACCGGCUAACUACGUG
rnacentral:rRNA from 1 species